rnacentral:lncRNA from 1 species
GACCAACCUGGUUAAAUGAAGGCUAUUUAAAGCAAAUAAUAAACCGAAAUAUCUCAGUUUUCUUUUUUCAAAUCCAUUCAGCUGCAGAGGAGAGGAAGUAGGGAAUUACUGUUGAGGAAAUGCAAUAGACUUACUUCCUAUGUUGUCAGCCGUCAUGAGAGGAAUAAUGAGAUCAUUCACAAGCUGUUGUGGCACUGACAUGGAGCGGUUGUUAUGGAUGUCUCUCCUGCUCGCCAACCAGCCCGUCACAGAGAGCAUGAAAGAAGCAAAGAGCUGCUUGUCACAGCCGAACAAGGUGAUCUGGAGGAAAACAGGACAAGGUGUUACUCUCCCUUGUACCGUAACUCCACCUUGUUCAGACAAAGACUUGCAGUUCGAGUGGUUUUUCUUCAAAGAAAAUGUCCAUCUUCGUCUUACAUCGCUGAACAAUCCUCUCAAGUACGUGCCCAACGGAGCAUUUUUACACAUCAGCUCGCUUCAUGUUAAUGAUAGUGGGAUUUACCACUGUGCUGCAGUGACACAUGGAGACUCAGCACUCGGCUCACAGCACGUAGGGUCAGGGACAACGCUUGUGGUGAGAGAAAAAAUUAAAAUAAUGGUGAGGGACAUUCUUCUGUGGCUGUCGUUUGUCCUGCUAUCCAUCUACAGCCUGGCAAUAGCAACACUUAUCAUAAAGAAGCAUGGCUGCAAAAAGAAACACAAAUCUGACAAGAAAAACUCAACAAAGACAAAACAAUUCCGUGACGUGCUGCAGGAAAUGUACAGCAGAAGGAACCUGGAGAGGAGCAAACAAAGUGUGAGCAGAAGUCGCUCUCCGGCUGAGGCUGCCAGCACUGACCUGGACAGCUCAAACGAUGACAUCUAUCAAAAUGUCUGA